GGGAUGAUAGUGUAGCGGUUAGCACUCCAGGCUGAUGUUCAGGUGCCAAACCUGAGUUCAAGUCCCUGGUAACUCA